rfam:Myotis davidii contig19636, whole genome shotgun sequence.
AUCGCUUCUCGGCCUUUUGGCUAAGAUCAAGUGUAGUGUCUGUUCUUAUCAGUUUAAUAUCUGGUCCGUCCUCUCUCUGAGGACAUUAUAUUAAAUGUAUUUUUGGAGCAGGGAAAUGAUGCGUAUCAACCCGGUAUUGCAGUACCUCCGGGAACGGUGCACCAAGA